UCAGCUGUAUCGAGGGUCACCGUUGCCAACCUCCUUCGUCGUCUUCAAUGUUGGUGGUGUGUGCUAGUGGCAACCGAGAGGGAGAGAGGAGAGCUUCAAUCAUCUAGACCUUCAUUUUUUGUUCUCCUCCCUUUUGUUGCUGACGAGAGUAAGUGGUGUUGCUGGAUUCUGGGCUCUUCAUCCGUAUGUCAUCUGUGUGUGUGAAGCGGAAGACCUUUUGCUAGCAGAGGUUACCGGAUUCUUCCAUGUCUUUCUGUGUUCGUGCUGUUUUGUGCUGUCUCUGUUUUGCUUCUUCCUUCUUUUUCCUGUUUGCGUGAGGGGAGAUGCUAGCCCCGUGCGAUGGCCAACGCAUGUGGAACAGAGGGAUGGUUAUUCGUGAGCAUCGUACUCAUGUUUGUUUCGUAGCUUCAGCUGCAUUUGGUUACUGAUCCUCGUGGACUAUGUGUCUACGUUUGUCUUCAUGGCAUAAGCCGUGUUGGGUUAUUUACCCUCGUGGACUGUGUAUCCAUGUUUGUUAAUG